UGAUAUCUGCUCGCUCCAGGAACAGGAAGAGCCUCAAACCGUUCAUUCAGGGUUUUGACGAAGAAGUCUGACCAUCGCGUUGAUGGGCGGCCACAUAGUCUUUUGACGUCCCGUGGAAUUCAGUCAGUAACAGCUCUAGUCCAGUGGUUGUCUCUGAAUCGCAUUACAUGUCCGGCCCAUCUGAUUUUUGAUGUCUUGGCAAAGGAGACAGCUUCCCUGAUUCUUGACCGUUGAUGGAGUUUGGAACUCCGGAUUCCUUCUCUCACUUGAAUGAGACGUGAUACUCCAAGCAUAGCUCUUUCGAUUCCUCUUUGGGAUACUGAAUAGCGUUCUCAUCCUGUUUGCGUCAAAUUUUCAGUCUAUGCUUCAUAUUUGAAGAACACUGCUAAAGUGAUCAAUGAAUCCUGAAAGUAAAUGUACUGGGAGUAAAUUUCAUGAAGAUUUAUACCAUGAAAGCUUUAAAUCACUUAAGAGAAGACCUUGGGAAAUGGAAAAGUAUUCCAUGUGCAUGAAUCGGAAAAGUUAUUUCAAAGAUCACGUCAUGCCAAUGAAUCUCAGGUUAAAAGCAGUUUGUGGUGCCUGAACGCUGUGACAAGCUCAAACCAGGAUGGUUUACUUAAAAGGCAUUCCUUAUUUUAAUUAUGUACAUGUGGA